GCACUAACUAGUUCCCAAUGAUUUGCAUGCACUCACUGCACAGCCUUGAGAACUUCUUCAUAUACCAGUCACAUCUUGUUCAGUUGUCAGUGCAGUUAGGACUCAGCACGGAUAUGAGGACUCCUGCUCAGUUCUUCGGGUUUCUUCUGCUCUGGCUUCCAGGUGCCAGAUGCGAUAUCCAGAUGACCCAGUCUCCAUCCUCCCUCUCUGCAUCUCUGGGAGAAAGUGUCACCAUCACUUGCAGGGCAAGUCAGGAUAUUAGCAGGUAUUUAAACUGGUUUCAGCAGAAACCAGGGAAUGCUCCUAAACGCCUGAUCUACGGUACAUCCAACUUGGAGAAUGGUGUUCCAUCCAGGUUCAGUGGCAGUGGUUCUGGCACAGAUUAUUCUCUCACCAUCAGCAGCGUGGAGUAUGAAGAUAUGGCUAUUUAUUACUGUCUACAGUAUGAUAAGUAUCCUCCCACAGUGAUACAUGUCAUAACAUAA